AUUCUUUCUACAUCAUGACUAUUUUUUAUGCAAUUUUCUGUAAAACAAUAUUUAAUCAUUGAAAUAUCUGAAUCAAUAAAUCAAAAAUUAUUAUCAAGAAGAUGCAAGUUAUUUAUAAAUCAGUUCCUUAUAAUGUUUUAGCUUGGCACUUAAAUUAUAAAAAUAAUGUUUUUUCUUAUAUUUGAUAUUAUUAAUAAAUUGAUUAAUUACUUCCAUUAUUGUUAAAUUAUUGCACUGUAUCACACAACUAUCUUUAGUUUAACACUUUGGGUUGUGAACAUGAAUUAAAAAGCUUUCAACAUUAUCCAUCAUAUUUUCAUUACAAGGAGUGUCUUAAAUUUCUUUGAUUUCAAAUUUUUCAAUUUUUUUGCAUUAACAUCUAGGAAAUUCAAAAACUUAAAUAAAUUAAUUAAAUAAAACUCUUGAAAAAAUAAUUUUUAAAAUUCUGCAAUAUUUCAAAAUUAAAGAACCUUCAAUUAGGUUUUAAUGAUUAUGCAUGCUGAAAUGAUUCUGUGCAAAAUUUACAGUUUUCUUUACAAAUCAUUAAAACUGUAAAGACCAUCAAAAUUCUCAAUUGAAUAAUCAUGCAAUUUAUGUAUGCAUGUGAAUAUAUAUACAUAUAUAUAUAUAUAUAUAUAUAUAUAUAUAACAGAGACAGAUUAUAUUGUCUAAAAUACUAUUAAUAAAUGCAAUCGUUAAUAUUAUAAAUAUAUAUAUAUAUAUAUAUAUAUAUGUUUUGAUUAUUUUUCCUUUUGAUCAAUUUUCAUCAAAUCAAAAUUAAAAAACAAAAAUAGAAGUAAGAAUUCAAAAUUCAAAAAACCUUUAAUCAUGCAAGAUGCAAUAGCAUCAAUGUCAUCAAAGAUGAAACAAAUGUGGGAAAAAAAAGAUGCAACAUGGUCACACUACAAAAUGAAACACUUCCCAAUAAAUCAUUUUAUGCCAAUUCCACAAAAUAUUGAACAUGAGGAGGGUGCACAAGCAACAAAUAGCAUUGCAAGUCCUCAACCUUUGAACACUCAUCAACAUGACUCUUUCAUUGAAGGCAUAUUACAUUUUGAAGGCAAUCCACUUCCCGAUCAAGCUUUGCAUAAAAGUUCAAUGGCUAGUCAUGCCCAUUAUUCUAAAACACAUCUCUUAAGCACCAAACAACUUCUUGGUUUGACCUUUUUUGCGGUAUCGGGGGGCCCUUUUGGCUUACAAGCACCUAUGGCUCUUGGCGGACCCAUGUUAAUGCUAAUAGGGUUUUGGUUCAUUCCAUUUAUUUGGUGUAUUCCUAUGGCAAUAAUGACGGCUGAAAUGGCUUGUAUGAUUCCCGAGAGUGGAGGUCAUGUUUUGUGGGUGUAUCGUGCUUUUGGACCAUUUUGGUCAUAUGUGAAUGGCUUCUUUGCUUUUGCAUGUAGUGUUUUAGACAAUGCAUUGUACCCUUCUCUCUUUGUGGAAUAUUUGUUGGCAUUAAUGCCCACAACACCAAAUGGUUUGCCACCAUUGAAUUAUGGUUGGAGCGUAUUUAUUAAAAUGUUGGUAGUGAUGCUUGUCACCAUUAUCAACAUACUUGGAAUUGAUGUUGUUGGAAAUGUUUCACUAGUCCUUGCAUUUAUGGUAGUGGCACCAUUUGUGAUAAUGUGCAUUGCUGGUUUGAAGCACAUUAAUUAUUCUUGGGUAGAAGAUUCUAUCUCCAAUGAAGUAAACCGUGGACAUUUUUUAGCCACUCUAUUGUGGAACACUUCAGGAAUUGAUGUUAUAGGAACAUGUGCUUCAGAGGUUUUAACUCCAAGCACUUCAUAUCCCAAAGCCAUGAAAUUUAGUUUAUUACUUCUAACUGGGGUGUUUACAAUACCAACAUUAAUUGGGGUGAGCAUUGUUCCGAAGCAACAAAAUUGGAACAUGGGAACUUAUUUCCAGGUGGCAAAAGUUGUGGGUGGCAAAUAUCUUGAGGUUUCAAAUUAUCCAAUUUCGCAUAAUGGGCUGGAUGGGAUUCGCUGCACUAUUUAGUGUUUUGGGUCUUCUAUUAACUCGACUAUGUACAAAUUCUCGCAUCUUAUAUGGAAUGGCUCAAGUUCAACAGAUGCCAAUUUCUUUCACACUUCUUCAUCCAAAAUUUGCAACACCAUGGAUGGCAAUUUUAACUAGCUCUCUAUGUACAAUUUUCUUCAAUUUUUUCAAUGUUUAUCACCUUUCAGAGGCAAACAUGUUGUUUUAUGCCCUUUCAACAUUUUUGAAGUUUGGAGCUCUAGUACAAUUACGUUAUAUUGAACCAGAUGUGUUACGACCAUUUCAAAUUCCACUUGACAAAGAACUACUCAUAAUAAUCUCAUGCCUUCCAAUAUCAAUGUGUGUUAUAAUGUUGUUUUAUGCCCCUGCACGUAGCCAGGGCAUUGCCCUAAUAGGAACUACCAUGGCUGUAUUUAGUUACAUAUUUAAAGAAUUUAGUGAUCAACGUGGGAUUAAAGAAGUCACAAAGAAUCGAUUAGCAAGCAUUCAAAAAAACUUGGGGAAGAUGCAAGCAAGAAUUGAUUUCGUAAUUGAUAGUGAAUUAAAAACAUUACAAAACCUAAGUUCAUAUGUUCGUUCACAUCAUACCACUUCUCAAACACAUGCAUGAUCCUUAAAAAAUAAUAUUUUAAAUAAUUAGAUUGUUGUACAACAUCCUUACCAAUACUUGUAUAAAUUGAUACAAUCUUGGAUUGGAUAUUUAUUGGAGAUGAUCAAGUUUUAUGUGA